UGGUGUGUCAGUUGUUCCGCCAGGAGCACCGCUGAUUAGCUACGUUCGGGAUGGAUAACCGCUGAAAGCAUCUAAGCGGGAAGCCGGCCUCAAGAUGAGACUUCCAUGCCUACGGGCGAGAGGCUCCCAGCAGACUACUGGGUUGAUAGGCCAGAUGUGGAAGCGUGGUAACACGUGCAGCUGACUGGUACUAAUAAGCCGAUGACUUGAUAAC
rnacentral:ncRNA from 1 species